rnacentral:lncRNA from 1 species
CGGUCGCGACAGAAUGGAUUUCCGCGCCCUCCUCCCCAAUCGCAGCGAAAGCCCCUCUGCAACCCUUUCCGCCUCGUCUCGCUCACGCCCUCGCCUGCCGUGCCAAGGUGCCCCGUCGCCGCCAUGGCAGAAGUUUGCCGCAGUCGCGUCAGACCGCCUCGCGCUCAUCAUCUUGCCGGAUUCCCAGCUGCAAGCCCCGAUGCCUUCC